GACGAACGCUGGAGGCGUGCUUAACACAUGCAAGUCGAACGGUAAGGCCCUUCGGGGUACACGAGUGGCGAACGGGUGAGUAACACGUGGGUGAUCUGCCCUGCACUUCGGGAUAAGCCUGGGAAACUGGGUCUAAUACCGGAUAGGACCACUGCCUGCAUGGGGGGUGGUGGAAAGCUUUUGCGGUGUGGGAUGGGCCCGCGGCCUAUCAGCUUGUUGGUGGGGUGAUGGCCUACCAAGGCGACGACGGGUAGCCGGCCUGAGAGGGUGACCGGCCACACUGGGGCUGAGAUACGGACCAGAGUCCUACGGGAGGCAGCAGUGGGGAAUAUUGCACAAUGGGCGCAAGCCUGAUGCAGCGACGCCGCGUGAGGGAUGACGGCCUUCGGGUUGUAAACCUCUUUCAGCACCGACGAAGCGCAAGUGACGGUAGGUGCAGAAGAAGGACCGGCCAACUACGUGCCAGCCGCCGCGGUAA
rnacentral:rRNA from 1 species